CCUCGGUGAUGAUCAAAUAACGAUGACGAGUCUGAUGAAAUUUCCAUUCAUUAAAAUACUGAUGACAAAACGAGGCAUUUGUCUGAGAGGAUUCAACCUUUAUUAUUUUCAAUUUUCAAUUUUACUCUUGUUGUUAUUGUCGUUGUUUUGUAUCUUUUGAAAAAAUUUCUAUCUAUUACUUUGCAUGGUGAUGAAUCUUUUGAUUUUUUUCAUAUGAUUAGUCAUGUGAUGAAAUACAAUCCUCCUACUCAUUCUGA